rnacentral:misc_RNA from 1 species
GAUGAAGAACGUAGUGAAAUGCGAUACUUGGUGUGAAUUGCAGAAUCCCGUGAACCAUCGAGUCUUUGAACGCAAGUUGCGCCCGAAGCCAUUUGGUUGAGGGCACGUCUGCCUGGGCGUCACAUAUCGUUGCCCGAUGCCUAUUGCACUGUGAUAGGAAAUUCUAGGGCGAAAGAUGGCUUCCCGUGAGCGUUGUUGCCUCGCGGUUGGUUGAAUAUUGAGUCCUUGGUAGGGUGUGCCAUGAUAGAUGGUGGUCGAGUUUGCACGAGACCGAUCAUGUGUGCGCUCCCCAAAAUAUGGACUCUUUGACCCCACACGCGUCUUUUGACGCUCAUGACGAGACCUCAGGUCAGGCGGGGCUACCCGCUGAGUUUAAGCAUAUCAAUAAGCGGAGGA